GUCUAUGGCCAUGCUACCCUGAACAAGCCCGAUCCCGACCGAUCUUGGAAGCUAAGCAGGGUCAGGCCUGGUUAGUACUUGGAUGGGAGACCACCUAGGAAGACCAGGUGCUAUAGGCG
rnacentral:rRNA from 1 species